CUUGCUAAGCAGAUGACAUAACCUGCCCUGUAAACCCAACUGGGGCUACCUUAUUUGAUAUAUUCCAUUAUUCAAAAUUCUAUCUUUUCUUUUUAGUCGCUUUUGAUAGGCGUUGCGUUCUUCAGUAGCUUUUAUCAGAAUCCUGAAGGGCGCGUCAACGAAAGCGUAAAUCACCUUCAAUUCCAACGAUUCAUUAAAAAUCUGCAUGCUACGCGUUUUUCACAGUGAAUUGUAGCUUGUAACGAGUUGGAUUCUGCCAUUUUGAUAAUUUCAAUUCGAACCAGAUCUGUUUUUCAAAGUUAAUUCAUUUCUGAAAACCUAGUACUGUCAGUAAUUUUAAAGUUAUUGUAGAUUAAAGUUGCUUCUUACUGGUGAACGCUCUCAGAUUUAACAGUGAGGGAUGUUCAUGUUUCCGAAGCAUAAAUUAAUCUGUUUUUAGCCAGUUUUAAACAGCGUUGUGCGUUAUUAUCUUCAAAGCACUGCGCUACCUGUCUCCUGGUAUAUAUUUAUUAAUAUUUUUUGUGAUUAUUUUCUGUUUCCAGAUCCUAAUGUUUUGGUUGUUGUGUACGGUCUUUUUGUAGUUGUUUUAAAUUUUGAAUUAAAAGUUGGAUUUAUUUAAUCUUAACUAGGAAAAUCAAGUGUAUGUUUGAAACAGUAAAUUAAGAUGCUCUUAGAACCGAGAUUUAAUUUAUAAACACCGAAAAUGAAGCCUUGGUAGUGAAUUAUGCACUGUAGUUAAGACCUGGGUUGAUUUGAAGAUAACGGAGAAAAGAAAAGUAAGUCAUAGUAACUCGCGCGAAUAGCUUAAAUGGUAAUCUAUGAGUCAAUAGACAAGAAACGGGCCUUCGCUUGGUUAGAGGGGGGGGGGGGGGAUUGCCUCAAUCGCGCUUUUGUAUGGUUACGAUGAAAUUAGCAGUAGUUUUGAACGACAUGAACUUAAAAUGAGCAUAUCUUGCAACAAACGGAUUGAGCAUCAAAUUUUUGAAGACCAGGCUUAAAGUUUUACCAUGCACUUAAUGGAAAAUUUGACAGAACAUUGUGAAGGUGAUUGUGUUUUUAGCCCGUUUUGAGUUUAGUAAGUAAAUCACUUGUAAAAUUUGACCCAAGCGAACUCAUGUACGUGUUUGACUGAAUACUAUCUUAUAAUUCACACUAGGAUAUAGUUUUUCAUCUUUUAAAAGUUAUACUAAACUUGUAUUGAUAAAUUAAGAAGGGUUUAAAAUAAAGAUUAAUAAUUGUUAACUGGUUGUUAUAGUUAUCUUAAUCAUAAACUCGUUUUAGUUAUCAAUUAACAGUCUAUAAACAUGUGAUCGGUUAAAAUAAAGAUAAUUAUGGUAAUUAGAUAAAAUAACUAUGACAACUAAUUGACAAUACAAUUAAAAAUUAAUUGAAUUGUGUAUUCGUUCUUUAAUCAGAGUUAGUAAAUAAGGGUUAAACUAAUAAAUUGAUUUGUGAUAUGUAUAAAUAUAUUUGAUUCUAUCAAUAGGGAUAAAACGUAAAACUUACUGUUGCCAUGAAAAUAGAUGCAAACACCUAAGCGUGCAUCAAAAAUUUUAUUACGUAAAUGGGUAUCCAUGUGAAAUAAAUCUGAAUAAUUAAUAAAGGGAUUAUUGGUUUAAUGGUAUAUACAUGUUAAAGUUAUUGAUGUUGAAUUGGUUAAUGAUUAUUAUGUUUAUGUCGAAUACUAGUCGUUUAUAUUUUUAUUAUUAUUUUGAGUUACUUUAGUAUCAAUGAGUAUACAUUAUUUAAUUAUGGAUUUGUUUGUUUUCGUGUGUAGGUCUCGAAUAAAAGUUAUAGUAAAUUCAUGGUCAGGCAUUUGCUAAAAAUUGUAGUGGCAAUGUAGUGGGAGCAUUCCAAUCGAGCUACACUCUGAUUUGGAGCGAUUGUUAAGACACAAUUGUCAACUGAUGCAAAAUGAUCCACCCAUGGUAGUUGAUUUACCUCGGGAGAACCUUUUAUUUGACGAUUCACUUGAACCACGAGCACAAGUUCGUGGAGAGUUGCUGAUGGUUCAAUAAAGGACGUUGCACGAUUACGCACUACCAACAAUAGAAGUCGUUCGAGGUAGCAUUGAAAGAUCGACGGUUAAUGCUAAUAAUUUCAAGAUCAAAAUGAGUACAAUUCAAAUGAUCCAAAACACCUUACAAUUCAGAGGGAACAUGAUGGAGGACCUGAACCAACAGUUGAAACAAUUUCUUCAGCUCUGCGAUACCUUCAAGUAUAACGGGGUAACUGAUAACACUGUUUGUCUUCGAUUGUUCUCCUUCUCCUUAUGUGAUAACAAAGCUGAUUGGUUGGAUUCAUUGGAUCCUGAUUCCAUAACUACAUGGGAAGAGUUAGCUGAAAAGUUUUUACAAAAAUUAUUUCCCAUCAGCAGAACUAUUCAACUUAGGCGCGAUAUUGUGAAUUUUAAGCAGAUGGAUGGCAAAACUUUCUACGAGGCUUGGGAAUGAUUUAAGUUGCUGUUAAGAAAGUGUCCUCAUCACAGAAUGAAAGAGUGGCUCUGCAUACAAAUUUUUUACAAUAGAUUGGACAGUAAUCUAAGGUCUAGUUUGGACAGCACAUCCGGAGUUGCCCUUAUGAACCACACAUACGAGCGAGGCUGUCAGUUAAUCAAUGACAUGUUCAUGAACUUGUAUAUGUGACCUAAUGAGAGAUUCUCAUACAACCCAAAACCACCAAUGGUGAAAGCUAUUAGUAAAGGGGGUUAAGUAUCAACAAAUUUUAGAGAAAUUAAACCUUUUGGAGAUGACUGUUAAACUAUUAAUAACGGAGUCAGCUCGAGGCUAUGGGUCAUAUUCUGAAAGCCAGCCUAAGGAGGUAAAUUAUUUGUGUAAUAGGGGUGGAAACCCUUAUUCAAAUACAUAUAACCUCAACUAGAAAAUCAUGCAAACUUAAAUUGGAGAGGUAGUCAAGGAGGCAGAAAUCCAAUGCAUAACCAAUCGGCUCCUCCUUACCAACCUCCUCCUGUACAAAGAUCUCGAGAGAAGCUCAUUAGGAAUGACCAUACUGCAUGUGGUCAAAGGCUAGACAUAAUAUAAUGAGAAAUGCAAAUGAUGAAAAAUGGAUCUUCGACAAGUCUAUGCCAAGUGUGACCGACUUAAGUCUCGGAUUGGUAUCCUUCAUGAACAAAUGAGUCAAAUGAUAAGCUUGAUGAAAAAGAAAAUUGGCCAAGGCAUACCUAGUGAUAUGGAGAAUAAUCUUCGCACGGAUGGGAAAGAGCAUGUGAACGUGGCCACUUUACAAUCAAGUAAAACACUUGACAGUCCGAGUAUCACCAUCCAAGAAGAUAAGGAUUUUUUAAACUUUGUGGAUGAACUUUUAAAGGAAAACAAGAUUGAAGAGUUGAUUAAGCAAGUAGCCAAAAUGAUAGCUGAGCCGGAGAUUUUGAAACCUAACACGACGAAUAUACCAUUCCAAUCGAGGCUUGAGGACAACAAAUGAGGGAUGAAGCAAAUUUUGUGUUGUAAAGUGUUACCUUAUGUCGCGACACACCAUCAAAACCUGUAACUUUCCUUUUUUGAAUUUUCACGUAAUUUGUUGAAUUAUGUGUAAAAAGCACAUUAAUUUAGCCCUAAAGCCCUCUAUGAAUCAUCCUUAGUAGUUA